AUCUAAUAGAGUGUCCUAUGCUUUUACAGUGGGAGCAGGAGGGAGGGAUCCAAGGGUACUCGACAUUAAUGGUCAAAAGGCAUCCCUUUGAGAUGGGCCCAAAUUGGAAUAGCUUCAAGGUCAGCAGUGGUCCCUCCAGACGAAUCCCACUGUGCCACUAGGAACAUGCACUCACCGAUAUACCACAGCUUCUUUUCCAGAACCUUAGUGCGGACAUAAUCAUUUGGCAGCCUUACAAGCAUAGAGUUAUUGGAGUGAUUAAGGGAUUACAAUUCGUGGCUUCCCCUCAGGAGAGUAGUUUACGGGAGCUAAUCUAGAGAGAGAACGGUCAGCUCCACGCUUAAGCUUUUGA